rnacentral:rRNA from 1 species
AUUGAACGCUGGCGGCAUGCUUUACACAUGCAAGUCGAACGGUAACAGGCCGCAAGGUGCUGACGAGUGGCGAACGGGUGAGUAAUGCAUCGGAACGUGCCCAGUCGUGGGGGAUAACGCAGCGAAAGCUGUGCUAAUACCGCAUACGAACUGUGGAUGAGAGCGGGGGACCUUCGGGCCCCGCGCGAUUGGAGCGGCCGAUGUCAGAUUAGGUAGUUGGUGGGGUAAAGGCUCACCAAGCCGACGAUCUGUAGCUGGUCUGAGAGGACGACCAGCCACACUGGGACUGAGACACGGCCCAGACUCCUACGGGAGGCAGCAGUGGGGAAUUUUGGACAAUGGGCGCAAGCCUGAUCCAGCAAUGCCGCGUGCAGGAAGAAGGCCUUCGGGUUGUAAACUGCUUUUGUACGGAGCGAAAAGGCUCCCUCUAAUACAGGGGGCUCAUGACGGUACCGUAAGAAUAAGCACCGGCUAACUACGUGCCAGCCGCCGCCGUAACAC